rnacentral:rRNA from 1 species
AUGCACGCUGGCGGCGUGCCUAAUACAUGCAAGUCGAGCGAACAGACGAGGAGCUUGCUCCUCUGACGUUAGCGGCGGACGGGUGAGUAACACGUGGAUAACCUACCUAUAAGACUGGGAUAACUUCGGGAAACCGGAGCUAAUACCGGAUAAUAUAUUGAACCGCAUGGUUCAAUAGUGAAAGACGGUUUUGCUGUCACUUAUAGAUGGAUCCGCGCCGCAUUAGCUAAUUGGUAAGGUAACGGCUUACCAAGGCAACGAUGCGUAGCCGACCUGAGAGGGUGAUCGGCCACACUGGAACUGAGACACGGUCCAGACUCCUACGGGAGGCAGCAGUAGGGAAUCUUCCGCAAUGGGCGAAAGCUUGACGGAGCAACGCCGCGUGAGUGAUGAAGGUCUUCGGAUCGUAAAACUCUGUUAUUAGGGAAGAACAAAUGUGUAAGUAACUAUGCACGUCUUGACGGUACCUAAUCAGAAAGCCACGGCUAACUACGUG